rnacentral:lncRNA from 1 species
UUUUUUUUCUGACGGUGCUUUUUUGUUUCGCAAGAUGUCGCUUAGAUUUUUUGCGUAUGAUAUCCAACAGUUAUAACGAUUUUGAAACUGACCCUGUUAAGCCGAACACUUUUUAUUGUAAGAGUUAUCUCCCCAAACACUGUUUUUCUUGUGUACAAAUCUCCUUCGCAACCGUUAAAGAUUACGACAAAAUUAUUUCAACAAAAUGCUCGUUAUAUCCUCAGGAUCUUAAAAAUAAUUUUGACCGAAGCCAUCCGGAAACUCCAUAUGAGAGUUAUUUCCC